AAGGAGUCUAACAUGUGUGCGAGUUUUUGGGUGGCAAACCCAUGAGCGUAAUGAAAGCGAAUGCAGGUGGGAUCCGCAAGGAGCACCAUCGACCGGCCCUGAUGUUCUCGGAUGGGUCUGCGUAAGAGCGUAUACGUUGGGACCCGAAAGAUGGUGAACUAUGCCUGAAUAGGGCGAAGCCAGAGGAAACUCUGGUGGAGGCUCGUAGCGGUGCUGACGUGCAAAUCGAUCUUCGAAUUUGGGUAUAGGGGCGAAAGACUAAUCGAACCAUCUAGUAGCUGGUUCCUUC
rnacentral:misc_RNA from 1 species